UGACAUUGCUAACAGGACAAAGAGGAAACAGUGAAAUUAAGAAUGCUGCAAUCUGAUGACAAAUGAACUGAAACAAAAGUGUUGAAUAUUUCAGUACUGCCCGAUCAUUCUUCACAUCUGUCUAUCUGCUUCGGGUCCGCUCAAGGUUUUGUUCUCUGUUGUCAAUGUUCACUCUUCACGUUUCUUCGACAGAUGACCCUGAACUCUCAACAUCUUUCUCCAAUCUUACUCGGAGCAAAGAGAGGCUACAUUCACUCGGCUUGGGUCUCGGACCGAGGGCGGUUCAGCGUGGUCUACUGCGCGCGGCCUGCAGAGAUGUGGACACGCAACAGCGGACGUCCAGUCGGGGGUUGCGGUCAGGCCACUAAGCCCAGCCUGGAGAUCUUGGCAGAGAGGAAGGAGUGGACGAUAAAGACGAUUGGCUUGGGACACGAGUGCAGGUCCAGUUGCUGCAGGAGAACAAUGGAUACGGUGACAUUCUGGACGCAACAUGAAACACGAAGGAAGGGAAAUAAACAGCCGCAUCCUGAGUCUUUGCGUGAUGACCGAAUACUGUAACACCAACAGCUCAGCAUGACUACCGUCCAGGAGUAGCAUCCGAACUCCAUCGUCCGACGACAUCCUCAGUUUUUCGUAAGGGUAGGACAGGAGCACACGUUUUUUGGUCGGACUUUGCCGUGGCCCCUCGUCCUGGUUCUCACCGUCUCGGACUUUGGCUUCAGCCAACACGGAGAAGCCCUGCUCGUAGUGGAUCACCAGCCGGCACUCCUGACCCAGUUGCAGACAUCCAACGUUUUUCCCUCGAGCACGUUUGGAGUGCGUCACUGUGAAGACGAACCCACCGUGUCGCCAGAAGAGGAUACGUGUGCGCUGGACUCUGCCAGGCCUCCUUGCUCCAGUGGCAGGCUGUCAUAGAGCAGCAGGUCUUUCUCCGUCACCACCGCCAGCACGGGCUUCCAGCGCUGCUUCUCGCUCUCGCUUUGCUGCCCAAAUACGAGAAACGCAACUCAGUGGAGAGCAUCGACCUCCGACGGGCUGAACGAUCCUAAUCGCUGCCGACAGCAAAUCGCGAGUGUUCGGACAAUGCCAACUUUUGCAUACGCUUGAAUUAAUCCGAACAUGAAGAGAUUUAAAUGAAUACAAUAUUUGCAGAGCUCACACCCCAUUCUUCUGUAAACUGUCCAUUCAUCCAAGUUCUGGUUUUAGGUAUUAGAUACCAGACUUCAGACUUGUAUAGCAACGGAUUACGGACGUCUGGAAGCGGUAUCGAAAAUUGAUGGAGCAAUUAGGGAUGUUUGACACCACUUUUUUUUUUUUUCUAACCAAUGCCAGUACGAGUAUUCACCUUUGAUACGUACAAUUUCAAUUAACACAAUAACGGAUGAUUGUGAACAAAACACUUUCUGAUGCACAUGAUUCACACGUUUCAAACCGUUACAGUGUAGCGCCAACUAAUGGUGAGGAGGACAUAUUUCAUAUCAGAUUUUUUUUCCCCCUUAAGUAUCGGUGUCUGGCAUGACGAGUACCCAAUACCUUGAAAUGAGGUCGCUACCGGUCCAAUACACUGCAAAAACCCAAAAUCAUACCAAGAAUAUUUUUCAUAUAUCUAGUCAAAGGUCUCGAAACUAAUCUGAUUCCACUUAAAAUAGAGCUCAUCACCUAAGAAUGUAAAAAAAAUAUUAAAUAAAAAAGAAAUAACAAUUUCCAUUUCAAGUAAAAAUGAACUUGAAUUAAGUUGGAAAAAAAUGCCAGUGGAGUACAUUUUGUUCAACUUAUUUCAAGUAUAAAAACAAUUGCUCGAAGCAAGUAGAAAUUGUCUAAAAAUAUGUUAUGUAUUUUAAUUAUUUUUGACUAGUAAUAAGACAAAAACUCUUGUUAAGAUUUGUUUGCCGUGUACCAAUACCUGAUUUUGGUACUUGCCCUACCCUAGUAUAGAUGGUGGCACACUAUUCGUUAAGACAUUCGUGAGACAUCUUUGGUUAUCCGACACAGAGAAAACUGUCAAAAUCCAUUUGCUCCAUUGUCUGAAAAUUGCUUUUAAACAAUGGACCAGUUGUUUCAAACGUUUGUGCUGUCAUCCUCUAAACCUAAUGUGCAUUUUUUACAUGUCAAUGAAGGUGCAAAGUGCUGAAAAUGUUUCUUACCAAAGUUGCUCAAGCACAAACUCCAACAAACAAAGGAGUAAUGUCUCUGGAAUACAUAAAAUCUGGAACUGUGUUAAAUGCAGACUUAACGCCUUUUAUUUUUCUCUUCUUUCUCAAGUCAAUAACCAAAACAGAAUGCCGGAGGAAUGCGGACCAUUCGGGAUGUGUGAUAGAAAUGCUAAUUUAUUUCUGGUGUUGAUGCAUCGGUACAUGACUGAAACAUUUGCUUUCUCGUGCAACCCCCAUCUUUCAAACAACCCCCCCCCCCCCCCCCCCCACACACACACACAGUUAAUCCUUUAUAUUCCCAGCUCAUAUACAUUUGCUACCCACCGCCUGGCAUUUUACGUUCAUAACUGUUCUCAUUAUGAGACUAUCUGCAGCUCAGCUACGGAAUCCUAAGCUGCUCUUUGACAUUCUGUCUCAGCCAAUCACAUCGCAUGAUUUUACAGGCUCAAGUGUCACCGUUUGAACAUAAUGAGAAUUUGUCGUUGAGUAGCAAUAAUGGUUAGAAUUUGAUGAUAAAAUAUGGCAGAUUUGGAUUGAAGUCGACAGAUGGAGUCAUUACGGUGGCUUUCGCGUGAUUGGCUGCUUGCUGUGUGCGUGGGGGACAUUCCUGAUAAUUCUACAUGUGUGCUUGUGUGUGGGGGGCGACGGGCUUUGUUGCGCACCUUUCUCAGCUUCUAACAUUAACCGUCACGAUCUAAACGAUCGCACAUUCAGCAAACCAAGAACAGUGGCACCUUGAAUUGAUCAAAUCAAUAUUUGCCAUUAAAACGAACUGAUCCAUUCCAGACCACCCAAAAAAAAUAAAAAUAAAUAAAAAAAACUCUACAAUGUUUUUGGAACAUUUUUUUUAAGGACAAGAAAAUACUGUAUUGUAUAAAAACAUAAAAGAGAAUGUAAAUAAUCAGGUUUUAUAAAUGGUAAUAAUUAUGCUGUUCAACAAAAAACACCAACACAUACUGCACACGUCGUCACACACAAACUAGAACAACAACAAAAAAAACUACAAAAAUACUACAGACACCACCACAACACACACACACACACACACACACAUUGUCCUCACCUUCCCUGCCAGCCAUCCCAGGUGUCGAAUCUCUUUGCUGCCCGCAAGCCCGGUCCUGGUUGUGUGACGAAUCACCUCAGCAAGCGCUCGCUGCGAUGAGAUGAUAGCGUUCAUUCGGAAAGUCUACAUACACGUUACACGUCCGAUCUGUGAUACGGGCUAUACUUUGCUGUGCAAGUGUGAGACAGACCUGCGUCAGUGUGGAUGUGACAGCAUGCAUGGCGGAGAACCAAGUGAGGGCAGACGGCUGGUCUGGACAGCGCAGGACCACCGUGUGUUUGGCGUCGGGGGAGUGCAGCUCCACCUGUCUGGAGAAGACAAUUUCAUCACAGGAUUAUUUAUUCUUUCCCUU